rnacentral:rRNA from 1 species
AGUGGCGAACGGGUGAGUAACACGUGAGUAACCUGCCCUUAACUCUGGGAUAAGCCUGGGAAACUGGGUCUAAUACCGGAUAGGAGCGCCUACCGCAUGGUGGGUGUUGGAAAGAUUUAUCGGUUUUGGAUGGACUCGCGGCCUAUCAGCUUGUUGGUGAGGUAAUGGCUCACCAAGGCGACGACGGGUAGCCGGCCUGAGAGGGUGACCGGCCACACUGGGACUGAGACACGGCCCAGACUCCUACGGGAGGCAGCAGUGGGGAAUAUUGCACAAUGGGCGCAAGCCUGAUGCAGCGACGCCGCGUGAGGGAUGACGGCCUUCGGGUUGUAAACCUCUUUCAGUAGGGAAGAAGCGAAAGUGACGGUACCUGCAGAAGAAGCACCGGCUAACUACGUGCCAGCAGCCGCGGUAAUACGUAGGGUGCGAGCGUUAUCCGGAAUUAUUGGGCGUAAAGAGCUCGUAGGCGGUUUGUCGCGUCUGUCGUGAAAGUCCGGGGCUUAACCCCGGAUCUGCGGUGGGUACGGGCAGACUAGAGUGCAGUAGGGGAGACUGGAAUUCCUGGUGUAGCGGUGGAAUGCGCAGAUAUCAGGAGGAACACCGAUGGCGAAGGCAGGUCUCUGGGCUGUAACUGACGCUGAGGAGCGAAAGCAUGGGGAGCGAACAGGAUUAGAUACCCUGGUAGUCCAUGCCGUAAACGUUGGGCACUAGGUGUGGGGACCAUUCCACGGUUUCCGCGCCGCAGCUAACGCAUUAAGUGCCCC